rnacentral:rRNA from 1 species
CAGUAGCCGCGGUAAUACGAAGGGGGCUAGCGUUGUUCGGAAUCACUGGGCGUAAAGCGCACGUAGGCGGACGCUUAAGUCAGGGGUGAAAUCCCGAGGCUCAACCUCGGAACUGCCUUUGAUACUGGGUGUCUUGAGUCCGGGAGAGGUGAGUGGAACUGCGAGUGUAGAGGUGAAAUUCGUAGAUAUUCGCAAGAACACCGGUGGCGAAGGCGGCGACCUGGUCCAUAACUGACGCUGAGGCGCGAAAGCGUGGGGAGCAAACAGGAUUAGAUACCCGCGUAGUCCCUGUCUCUUAUAC